rnacentral:rRNA from 1 species
GACGAACGCUGGCGGCGUGCUUAACACAUGCAAGUCGAACGGAAAGGCCCUGCUUUUGUGGUGUGCUCGAGUGGCGAACGGGUGAGUAACACGUGAGUAACCUGCCCUUGACUUUGGGAUAACUUCAGGAAACUGGGGCUAAUACCGGAUAGGAGCUCCUGCUGCAUGGUGGGGGUUGGAAAGUUUCGGCGGUUGGGGAUGGACUCGCGGCUUAUCAGCUUGUUGGUGGGGUAGUGGCUUACCAAGGCUUUGACGGGUAGCCGGCCUGAGAGGGUGACCGGCCACAUUGGGACUGAGAUACGGCCCAGACUCCUACGGGAGGCAGCAGUGGGGAGUAUUGCACAAUGGGCGGAAGCCUGAUGCAGAAACGCCGCGUGCGGGAUGACGGCCUUCGGGUUGUAAACAGCUUUCGACUGUGACGAAGCGUGAGUGACGGUAAUGGGUAAAGAAGCACCGGCUAACUACGUG